UAAAUUUGUUGGAUUUUCAGAUUCCGAGAUAAUGGUUAGAAGGUACAGCUGGGGGCAUUGUAAUGACGGUGUUAGAGGUGAAACUCUUGGAUCGCGCCAGGACAACGUACAGCGAAAGCAUUUGCCAAGGAUGUUUUCAUCGAUCUGGAGCGAAAGUCAGAGCUUGGAAGACGAUCAGAUACCGUCCUAGUUUUGCUCAUAAGCGAUGCCAACUGCCGAUCCGUGGGUGUACUUAGAGUGACCCCACAGGCAGUCCCCGGGAAACCUUUAAGUCUUUGGGCUCCGGGGGAAGUAUGGUAGCAAAGCUGAAACUUAAAGGAAUUGACGGAAGGGCACCACCAGGAGUGGAGCCUGCGGCUACAUUCGACUCAACACGGGAAAACUCACCCGGCCCGGACACUGUGAGGAUUGACAGAUUGAGAGCUCUUUCUUGAUUCGGUGGUUGGUGGUGCAUGGCCGUUCUUAGCUGGUGGAGCCGAUUCGUCUGGUUAAUUCCGAUAACGAACGAGACUUUGGCCUGCUAAAUAGUAUCCCUGUCCUCCGUGCUUGUGCAGGUGUCUGUGCUCGUCGUCUCUUCGGGGGUGCUGAUGCUGUGGCCGCCGGGUACUGCGCAGGUGGGUACUUAUCAGAGGGACAAGCUGCGCGCUAAGUAGCAGGAACUUGAGCAAUAGCAGGUGUUAGAAGCCCUGAGAUGUCCGCGCCCGCCCUUGAGGAACAAUGGGGGUGUCAGCGAGAAGGGCAUCCUGGGCCGCAAGGGUGGGGCGGAUCGCGACCAUGUACGUUGGGUCAUGGAUCAAAGGCUCGCAAUCGUCCGAGGCCACGACCAGUUGGUGGUAAGCGCAACGUAUCCAGCACAUCUCCGAUCACGUCACUCCCCAUGGUCCACAACGCCCUUAAGCACUACUGUAGGCAUGCAGGGCGAGGUACAAUCAUCGGAGCCAUAGUAGUAGUUAAGGAAGCCAUCCCGAAUCAGAUUGGAGUCGAACUUAUCACUGCCAGCGUAAGUUAUUACGCAAAAUGCGUUCCU
rnacentral:rRNA from 1 species